UUGGAUUCUUUCUAUUUUUCUAAUCCUUUAUCAUUUUGUUUUCUUUCCCAUAGACAAUCUGCUGGGAAUUUCUUGGGUUGACAGCUCUUGGAUCCCUAUUUUGAACAGUGGUAGUGUCCUGGAUUACUUUUCAGAAAGAAGUAAUCCUUUUUAUGACAGAACAUGUAAUAAUGAAGUGGUCAAAAUGCAGAGGCUAACAUUAGAACACUUGAAUCAGAUGGUUGGAAUCGAGUACAUCCUUUUGCAUGCUCAAGAGCCCAUUCUUUUCAUCAUUCGGAAGCAACAGCGGCAGUCCCCUGCCCAAGGUAAAAUGUGUAAACUUUAGGCAUUGUUUUCUUUUUAAAAUACCAUAAUUUAUUUACUUCCUGACCUAACUUGUUUUUUUGAUUGGUUUCUGUUUGGGGGGUCUCCAAGACCACAUACAUGUUCAGUACUAUGCUGGAGGACUCACCAGACUUAGCAUAUGGUUGUACUUACAGCUAAGAUUUGUUAUGACAACACAGUAAGGGUACGCAGCCAGAUUAGUACUGGAAAAAGACAUGUCAGGUGGGGUCUGUAGGAAUCCAUGUGCAAGUUUCUUAUGCUUUCCCUCUUGCUUGUGAAGGGCCACAGAGUGUGCCCUCCAUCCAGCAGUGAAAUGCAGCUGCAUUCAAUAUGUCUGCUCAGGGAAGUCCAUAUAAGACUCUGAGCCAGGGAUUUUUAUA
rnacentral:lncRNA from 10 species